CGGGGAGUGGCUCAGCUUGGUAGAGCGCGUCGUUUGGGACGAUGAGGUCGCAGGUUCGAAUCCUGUCUCCCCGA
rnacentral:tRNA from 1 species